rnacentral:rRNA from 1 species
GAUUCAUUUGUUCUCCUGGGACGGACAACAUCGGGAAACUGAUGGGAAAACGUCUAAGUUGCAGUUAAUUGACUGUGACGUAAACCUUUGUGUGCAGGAGAGUAAGAUGCCAUCCUAUCAGUUAGUAAGUAGGGUAAGGGCCUACUUAGACGAAGACGGGUACGGGGAAUGAGGGUUUGAUUCCGGAGAGGGAGCCUGAGAGAUGGCUACCAGGACCAAGGUCAGCAGCAGGCGCGAAAAUUAUCGAAGCCCGCCUAGGGGCGAUAGUGAGGAGACGUGUAUAACGAAGUACGUGUAAAGAACGUGCUAAUAACUGGAGGUCAAGUCUGGUGCCAGCAUCCGCGGUAAUUCCAGCUCCAGGGGUGUCUAUGAUGAUUGCUGCGAUUAAAAAGUCCGUAGUCAAUCUGACUGACUGACCUGCAAUGUGAUUGAUUAAAGAACGAGCAGGGUUAGGAAAGCAGAGAAUUAGGAGCGACCGAGGGCUAGAGUAUUGAAUGGCGAGAGGUGAAAUUUGAUGACCCAUUCAGGAGUGACAAAGGCGAAGGCACUAGUCAAGGGCGAAUCCGAUGAUCAAGGACGUAGGCUAGAGUUUCGAAAACGAUUAGAGACCGGAGUAGUUCUAGCAGUAAACUAUGCCGACGCCGUGGUAUCAACAAUGGUAUUGCGGAAGAGAAAUCAAGUAAGGCUUGGGGAGAGUACGCGCGCAAGCGAUAAAUUUAAAGGUG